GGCAGUGCCGGUGACAUAUCAAUUAGAUGUCCGCCCCAUCAAUUGUUGACGGUAAGGUAGUGGCUUACCGUGGUUACAACGGGUAACGGGGAAUCAGGGUUCGAUUCCGGAGAGGGAGCAUGAGAAAUGGCUGCCAGAUCUAUGGAUUGCAGCAGGUGCGAAAAUUAUCCACUUUUGGCAUAAAGAGAUAGUGAUGAUAAAUAACGGAUCUGGGCAUUUGUUCAGAGAUCGUAAUGAAAUAAUCGUAAAAGCUUUAAUGAACGCAAUUGGAGGGCAAGUCUGGUGCCAGCAGCCGCGGCAAUUCCAGUUCCAAUAGUGUAUACUAAAGUUGCUGCAGUUGAAAAGCUCGUAGUUGGAUCUCGGCUUGCUAGCGCGCGAGGCGUGUGAGUAGGCCUUUGCUGUAGUUGAGUGCUACGGCUUUACCUUGAACAAAAUAGAGUGCUUAAGGCAAGCAUUCUGCUUGAAUAUCUCAGCAUGGAAUAAUAGAAAAAGACUUUUCUGUUGGUUUACCAGUAGUAAAAGUAAUGAUUAACAGAGACAGACGGGGGCAUUCGUAUCGCACCGCUAGAGGUGAAAUUCGUAGAUCGGUGCGGGACGAACUACAGCGAAAGCAUUUGCCAAGGAUGUUUUCAUUAAUCAAGAACGAAAGUUGGAGUAUCGAAGUCGAUUAGAUCUCGUCGUAGUUCCAACUAUAAACGAUGCCAACUAGCACUCCGCUAAUAAGUAUUAGUACGUUAGCGGGUUGCUUCCGGGAAACCAAAGUCUUUGGGCUCCGGGGGAAGUAUGGUUGCAAAGCUGAAACUUAAAGGAAUUGACGGAAGGGCACCACCAGGAGUGGAGCCUGCGGCUCAAUUUGACUCAACACAGAAAAACUCACCCGGGCCGAACACAGUAAGGAUUGACAGACUGAUAGCUUUUUCUUGAUACUGUGGGUAGUGGUGCAUGGCCGUUGUUGGUUGGUGGAGUGAUCUGUCUGGUUAAUUCCGAUAACGAACGAGACUCAGGCCUACUUACUAGUUGUUCGAUUGCUGGUCGAUCAACUUCUUAGAGGGAUCAGUGUUUAAAACACUUGAAAAUGAGCAAUAACAGGUCUGUGAUUGCCCUUAGACGUUCGGGGCUGCACGCGCGCUACAAUGGAGAAAGCAGUGGGUGUCUUGCUUGGCAAAGCAAGCUGAGCCUUAAAAUUUCUUCGUGACAGGGAUCGAGGCUUGUAAUUAUUCCUCGUGCACAAGGAAUUCCUAGUAAUCGCAGGUCAUUAGCCUGCAAUGAUU
rnacentral:rRNA from 1 species